rnacentral:rRNA from 1 species
GAUGAACGCUGGCGGCGUGCUUAACACAUGCAAGUCGAACGGAAAGGCUCCUGCUUGCAGGGGUACUCGAGUGGCGAACGGGUGAGUAACACGUGGGUGAUCUGCCCUGCACUUCGGGAUAAGCCUGGGAAACUGGGUCUAAUACCGGAUAGGACCACAUUUUGGAUGGUGUGGUGGAAAGUUUUUCGGUGUGGGAUGAGCUCGCGGCCUAUCAGCUUGUUGGUGGGGUAAUGGCCUACCAAGGCGUCGACGGGUAGCCGGCCUGAGAGGGUGUACGGCCACAAUGGGACUGAGAUACGGCCCAGACUCCUACGGGAGGCAGCAGUGGGGAAUAUUGCACAGUGGGCGCAAGCCUGAUGCAGCGACGCCGCGUGGGGGAUGACGGCCUUCGGGUUGUAAACUCCUUUCGCUAGGGACGAAGCGCAAGUGACGGUACCUGGAGAAGAAGCACCGGCUAACUACGUG